rnacentral:tRNA from 1 species
GCGGGUGUGGCGGAAUUGGUAGACGCACCAGAUUUAGGUUCUGGCGCCAAAAGCGUGGGGUUCGAGUCCCUCCACCCGCACCA